UUCUGUUUGAUCCUGGCGGAGGCUACUGCUAUUGGGAUUCGAUUAAGCCAUGCGAGUUGAAUGAAUUUAGAUUCAUGGCGUACGGCUCAGUAACACGUGGAUAACUUACCCUUAGGACUGGGAUAACUCUGGGAAACUGGGGAUAAUACCGGAUAUUAGGCUAUGGCUGGAAUGCUUUGCCUUUGAAAUGUUUCUUGUAUUCGCCUAAGGAUAGAUCUGCGGCUGAUUAGGUCGUUGGUGGGGUAAUGGCCCACCAAGCCUAUGAUCGGUACGGGUUGUGAGAGCAAGAGCCCGGAGAUGGAACCUGAGACAAGGUUCCAGACCCUACGGGGUGCAGCAGGCGCGAAACCUCCGCAAUGUACGAAAGUGCGACGGGGGGAUCCCAAGUGUUAUUCUUAAUAGGAUAACUUUUCAUUAGUGUAAAAAGCUUUUAGAAUAAGAGCUGGGCAAGACCGGUGCCAGCCGCCGCGGUAACACCGGCAGCUCAAGUGGUAGCUGUUUUUAUUGGGCCUAAAGCGUUCGUAGCCGGUUUGAUAAGUCUUUGGUGAAAGCUUAUGGCUUAAACUGUAGAAUUGCUGAAGAUACUGUCAGACUUGAAGUCGGGAGAGGUUAGAGGUACUACCGGGGUAGGGGUGAAAUCCNUAUAUCCUGGGAGGACCACUGUGGCGAGGCGUCUAACUGGACGAUCUUGACGGUGAGUACGAANNGCAGGGCGCGAACCGAUAGAACCGGGUAGUCUGGNCGUACGAUGUGACUUGGUGUGAAAUGCUCNAGUGUCAGUGCAAGGNAAGCUGUANUCCCCCUGGNAUACGUCCAAACUAACUAAGAUGCGGGGACACAACGGUGACUGCGUUAUGAUCAGCCGAUCUCGGACGACUGUGAAUCGUGAGACUUGACUCGAGGAGGAGCCCCUAC
rnacentral:rRNA from 1 species